GACGAACGCUGGCGGCGUGCUUAACACAUGCAAGUCGAACGGAAAGGCCCCUUUUGGGGUACUCGAGUGGCGAACGGGUGAGUAACACGUGAGUAACCUGCCCUUGACUUCGGGAUAACUUCAGGAAACUGGGGCUAAUACCGGAUAGGAAUCCUUGCUGCAUGGUGGGGGUUGGAAAGCUUCGGCGGUUUUGGAUGGACUCGCGGCUUAUCAGCUUGUUGGUGGGGUAGUGGCUUACCAAGGCUUUGACGGGUAGCCGGCCUGAGAGGGCGACCGGCCACAUUGGGACUGAGAUACGGCCCAGACUCCUACGGGGGGCAGCAGUGGGGAAUAUUGCACAAUGGGCGGGAGCCUGAUGCAGCAACGCCGCGGGCGGGAUGACGGCCUUCGGGUUGUAAACCGCUUUCAGCAGGGGCGAAGCUUGUGGUGACGGUACCUGCAGAAGAAGCACCGGCUAACUACGUG
rnacentral:rRNA from 1 species